GAUAAAUAGAUUUUUUCCUUUUGAUGCCAGACUUGGGAGUCGGUGCAGUAUUUUCUUUGUCAAAAUCCUCAUCCAAUUCCGGGUCCAGUGGCUUAGAUUUCACCUGCGCAGCUGUCAAUUUUUCCUGAGUUUUGUGACAUUGCUCGUGGAAGUCACACAAAAAUUCCAACGCUCCGAGACAUCUAAUGCAGACAUUGUGAGGCAAUCCGUCAGCUUCGCUUAUCUACAAAAUCAGGAGGAAAUGAGGUAAUGAAAAAUUUCUGGGUUUUUUGUUAAUAAAAAGUGCAGUUGAGUGGUUGAUUCAUGCAAACACAGGAACUUCUUCACAUCUAAAGUGUGACCCGAAUUUUGAGUUUCAAAACAAGGUAAGGUGCAAGAGAAAACAAAAAUGAUUAUUCUCGAAAAAUAUCAUAGCUUUAUUCGUGUAAACAUUGGAAUAUUUAAAUGAGCAUGUCGUUGAAAAAAAAUCUUAAUUAUCCCUCCACUCUCCGAUCUCACUUAUACGUUUUUUCCCUUAAUUCAUCACUUAGGAAACUAACUUAUUCAUAAUCACACAUUAUUUUUCUUUUUAAUUUAUCCUCCAUGCAUUUUCUAACGAGAGAAAUAUAGACUACUGUUUUAUUUUCUCCGUCGCGUCUAUAUCAUCAAUAAAGUUGGAG